rnacentral:rRNA from 1 species
GAUGAACGCUGGCGGCGUGCCUAAUACAUGCAAGUCGAGCGAACGGACGAGAAGCUUGCUUCUCUGAUGUUAGCGGCGGACGGGUGAGUAACACGUGGAUAACCUACCUAUAAGACUGGGAUAACUUCGGGAAACCGUAGCUAAUACCGGAUAAUAUUUUGAACCGCAUGGUUCAAAAGUGAAAGACGGUCUUGCUGUCACUUAUAGAUGGAUCCGCGCUGCAUUAGCUAGUUGGUAAGGUAACGGCUUACCAAGGCAACGAUGCAUAGCCGACCUGAGAGGGUGAUCGGCCACACUGGAACUGAGACACGGUCCAGACUCCUACGGGAGGCAGCAGUAGGGAAUCUUCCGCAAUGGGCGAAAGCCUGACGGAGCAACGCCGCGUGAGUGAUGAAGGUCUUCGGAUCGAAAAACUCUGUUAUUAGGGAAGAACAUAUGUGUAAGUAACUGUGCACAUCUUGACGGUACCUAAUCAGAAAGCCACGGCUAACUACGUG